GCGGGUGUAGUUCAAUGGUAAAACAUCAGCUUUCCAAGCUGACGAUGCACCCGUUCGCCCGAAAGCUGCCGUUCGCC
rnacentral:tRNA from 1 species